UUCCGAUAAGGGCGAAUUCGCCCUUCCCUAUGGGGUGCAGCAGGCGAGAAAACUUUGCAAUGUGCGAAAGCACGACAAGGUUAAUCCGAGUGGUUUCUGCUAAAGAAACCUUUUGUCAGUCCUAGAGACACUGAUGAAUAAGGGGUGGGCAAGUUCUGGUGUCAGCCGCCGCGGUAAAACCAGCACCUCAAGUGGUCAGGAUGAUUAUUGGGCCUAAAGCAUCCGCAGCCGGCUCUGUAAGUUUUCGGUUAAAUCUGUACGCUCAACGUACAGGCUGCCGGGAAUACUGCAGAGCUAGGGAGUGGGAGAGGUAGACGGUACUCGGUAGGAAGGGGUAAAAUCCUUUGAUCUAUUGAUGACCACCUGUGGCGAAGGCGGUCUACCAGAACACGUCCGACGGUGAGGGAUGAAAGCUGGGGGAGCAAACCGGAUUAGAUACCCGGGUAGUCCCAGCUGUAAACUAUGCAAACUCAGUGAUGCAUUGGCUUGUGGCCAAUGCAGUGCUGCAGGGAAGCCGUUAAGUUUGCCCCCUGGGAAAUACCUACCCAGUAUGAAACUUUAAGGAAUUGGCGGGGGAACCCCCCAAAGGGGUGAAAGCCUGGCGGUCAUUUGGAGUCAACGCCAGAAAUCUUACCCGGAGAGACAGCAGAAUGAAAGUCAAGCUGAAGACUUUACAGACAGCUGAGAG
rnacentral:rRNA from 1 species